GUGGGGAAUUUUGGACAAUGGGCGAAAGCCUGAUCCAGCCAUGCCGCGUGCAGGAUGAAGGCCUUCGGGUUGUAAACUGCUUUUGUACGGAACGAAAAGACUCCUUCUAAUAAAGGGGGUCCAUGACGGUACCGUAAGAAUAAGCACCGGCUAACUACGUGCCAGCAGCCGCGGUAAUACGUAGGGUGCAAGCGUUAAUCGGAAUUACUGGGCGUAAAGCGUGCGCAGGCGGUUAUAUAAGACAGAUGUGAAAUCCACGGGCUCAAACUGGGAACUGCAUUUGUGACUGUAUAGCUAGAGUACGGUAGAGGGGGAUGGAAUUCCGCGUGUAGCAGUGAAAUGCGUAGAUAUGCGGAGGAACACCGAUGGCGAAGGCAAUCCCCUGGACCUGUACUGACGCUCAUGCACGAAAGCGUGGGGAGCAAACAGGAUUAGAAACCCCGGUAGUCC
rnacentral:rRNA from 1 species